rnacentral:lncRNA from 1 species
UUUUGAAACUCACAAACCAAGAGGAUUGGGGGCACUGUCCAGGGGUAGAAAACCCUGCAGAUAUAGGUUCAAGGGGGAUGUUAGCUUCAAAUUUGGAAGUUAGUAAACUUUGGUGGGAGGGGCCAGAUUGGCUCUCUAAGUCCAAAGAAGAAUGGCCUAAAUUUAAGUGUAAUGUGAAGAGACCUGAAGUGAUAGAAGAAGAAAGAAAACCAGUAGCAAUGUUAGUACAGGUUAACCAGCAAGAUCAUGCAACCAUUGUGAUUGACUUAAACAAGUACAGUACAUCAGAACAGCUUUUUAGAGUGACAGCAUGGGUAUUUAGAUUCAAGUUUAAUUCUCAAGCUAAAGUAAAGAAUGUUGAUAAACGUAGAGGAGAGCUCAGUGUAGAGGAACUAGCUGAAGCAGAAGGAUUUUGGAUUAAGAAAGCUCAGACAAAACUGAAGGAUCAGAAGAAUUAUGAUCAGCUGAGUAAUUCUUUAAGAUUAGUGGAGGAAGAAGGUAUUCUGAGGUGCAAAGGUAGAUUGAAGAAUUCGGAUUUAGAAUUGAGUGCCAGAUACCCAAUCAUCUUGCCAAAGGAUCACAGAUUAACAGAGUUAUUGGUUCGAAAAUCACACAGUGACGUACAUCAUUGUGGUGUACGAGCGACUUUAUGUAGACUACGAUCAAAGUACUGGGUAGUGAAAGGACGACAACUGGUUAAGCGAAUUGUAGGCAAGUGCGUUACCUGCAAGAGACUAGAAGGGAAAUCAUACAGUGAAGCACCAGUAUCAGAUUUACCGGGGUUUAGAGUCAGACAGGCAGCACCAUUCUCUAAAGUGGGAAUUGAUUUCGCUGGUCCACUUUUUGUAAAGGUUUGUGCAGAUUGUUCCAACAAAGUGUAUGUAGCAUUGUUCUCAUGCUGUGUGACACGUGCAAUACAUUUAGAGUUAGUACGAGAUUUGUCAGCCGACACGUUUUUACGUUCUUUAAGAAGGUUUGCCGCUAGAAGAGGAACGCCUAAUUUGAUAGUAUCAGACAAUGCAAAGACAUUUAAGGCAUCAGAGAAAGCUCUUAGGAAACUAUAUAGUCAGCAAAAGGUUAAGUCCGAGCUACAGACGAAGCGAAUAACCUGGAGGUUCAACUUAGAGAGGGCACCCUGGUGGGGUGGAGUUUUUGAGAGGAUGGUACGAAGCGUGAAAAAGUGUCUUAGGAAGACUUUAGGGAAUGCUAGGUUAACGUUCGACGAACUUAAUACAGUUUUAGUUGAAGUUGAAGGUACAUUAAAUGCAAGACCGUUGACUGAUGAAUACGAAGAAUUUGAUGGUGAAGUCUUAACUCCUUCACACUUAAUGUAUGGUAGAGCAAUUAAUAUUAUGCCACAGAACGAAGUUACUAAAGACGAGAAUAGUUGUGAGGAGAGAUUUAAGUAUGUGUCGUUAAAGUUAGAGCACUUCUGGAAGAGGUGGCAAAAGGAGUAUCUAACAGGGUUGAGAGAGUUCCAUAAAUGCAAAAACGGAGAUAGACUGAGAGAAGUAAAGAAGGGAGACGUAGUGACAGUGUACGGAGAAGGAGGAAAGAGAUGUGGUUGGAAGUUAGCAGUUGUAGAAGAGUUAAUUGUAGGUAAGGACAAGGAGGUCCGAGGGGCCAAAGUAAAGGUUGCAGGCAAGGGUAGACCAGUCUAUUUGAAUAGGCCUAUACAGAAGUUAUUCCCAUUGGAGGUUCAAGCUCGACCGGGUGGGAAUGGGCAGGGAAAGGAUUCCCCCAUAGCUAAGGCAGACGGGUCCUUGCAUGUCUUGCAUGAUCGUCCGAGACGCUUGAUUCAUAGACCUUUAUGAAUCAAGGUGGGUGGGGUGUCGUAGGUUCCCAGCGCAGUGCCGCCAAUUCAUUCAACUUUAAAUAUACUUCAUGUAAUAUAUCAGUAUUGUGCUUGACGUAAUUCAUGUUAAAUCGUAAAUAAGUCUUUGUAUGUGUAAAUUGAUACGUCACAGUGACACAUUGUAAUUUGGUAGGGUAAUCAAAUAGCUAGGGAGUGAUUGAAUGUCAUUGUUGCCGUCAGAUCGUAGCGAGACAAUCGGAAUGUUUAACAGUCUAAAACUCACGUUGUAAAUAGUAUACUUUCACAUAUUACAAUCAAUACAAUUAUAAAAUACAGUCCCUUGAGCGUUUACUGAAUGAACCAGACGGUGGAAUCACAAGUUCCGCAACAGUAAUCAGGAUUCGACAAAAUUCUCAGAGCUUCUAGAAAUGAUUGUUUAUCCUUGUCCUUUGGUUCUUCAGCAGUUCCGUCGUCGCUUGACUCGCUGUCGGUUUCUGGCCUUCGUAGUCUUCGGUUUCAGUUUCAGAACCGGAGUCUAAAUCAGAAUCUUUCUCUUCUUCUUUCGGUCUUCAUCAAAAAUCACUGAACACUUC